rnacentral:lncRNA from 1 species
CUGGAAUGUAAGUGGAUAUCCUCUUAGUGCAUACUUACAAUCUGCUUUGUUGAUUUUGUUGUACUAUUUACACUCUUUCCACUUGUGAUUCUUAUAGUAAAUUUAUCUAAACAAAAUGUACUUUUCGACUCCAUGGAUAGACAAGAAACUCAUCAAUAUGCUCGACCAUGCCAAGAGUUUUAUAAUCAAUAAUUCAGUCGGUUGGUUUCAAAACACACUCCACCAAUAUAACCAAUCCCAACUUAAAUUUACCUUCUUCGUCUUCGCAUGGAUGGAACGCUUCGUACAACAUUCUCAUAGUAAUUCUUUUCAUACCAUUGAAGUAAUGAUUUAUAAGACGAUGGUUAUUAUGAUUAAUCUCCAUACGUGGUUCAUGGCAUGGUAAUCCAGUAAUGAGACAAAAUUCUUGUAUACCAAACCUAGCAAUAUGGUCAUCUAAUCGUACCCAGACUUCGUUAUUCUUACCACAAUGUACAAGCCUCAUUACAAAUUCAUGUAUCAACCUACUGUUAAAUUGUUCAUCUUCUCCCCUAUAAAUAACUCCCAUAAAGAAUCCAUAAAAAUUACUACACAUAAGAGAAUAUUGUUGAUUUGCAUCUAUAAAUUCUAUAAAAUCUUUGAGAUAUUCUCAAUUUGGAUAUUGAUCGAUAGUGACGGAAAACCAUUGAUUUGGAGUCACACUAUAUUCUAGAGACAUCUGCAUAGACAAAUUCAAUAAAAUAGGCAAACAAAUUUAUAUUUAUAAGAAUUCCAUAAAUUCUAAUUCUAGAUCUAUAUCUCACAACUGCAACAAUUCAAUCAUUAUUAUCUAUGUUUUCAAAUGAUUAUGACAAAAGAAUACUAUAAUUCCAAGAGUUACACUUAAAGUAUGCUAUAUUUUAAGCCAUGAAGAUAAAUAGAAUGGGGAUCCAUUUGCUUAUAAAUGAAUAACUAAGGCUGCAAUUUUCCCUUCAUAUUCUAUCUUCCUUUUUUCUGCCUCUUGCAACAGUGUACCUGUCAUACUUGUCAUAGAAGUUUUAUUUUGGAAGUGGUUAUAGUUUUUAGCAUCCUUUGUUGAUAAAGAUUAUUAGUUGUGGCUGCACUAGAUCCUAGUUUUGAACAUUUUAGUAUCUUUUGAUCGUUGGCAUCACUUUCCUUUGUAUGAAGUAAAAAAAUAUUGCCUUUUGAUGGUGGGAUAUCAUCUAUAAUUGUCCUAGCUUAUUUAUUGAUUUUUUAAAAUUCUUUUUCAUGAAUGAUUGGUUUUUUUUCUAGCUCAAAAAGAUCACAAAUUAUUUAUAUAUGUACCUAAUAUCCACUCUCCAUAUACCUUCUUAAGGAGUGUUCCAAAAGAUAAAUUAUAUUUAAGAACAAAAUGUCUUCUAUUUACCAAAAUGAGAAACAUAUAUUUGUAACAACACAGGUCAUUACACUUUCUUCUACUAUUGUUAAUGCCUUUAUUUCUUUGUAUUUGUAUGAAACACCAAUUACUACAUAAAUACAUUUUGAUGUUGAUGUCUGAGAUUGAGAAGCAGAAUAGAAUAUAAAAAAGAGAAAAAAAAAAAAAAAGAUAACAAUGACUCCGUGCACAGAGAGUUCAGCUAGACUUUCUGUGCACUCAUAGAAAACUCUCUGCGCACGGAGAUCUCUAUACACCAGUCAAAAUAAUGGUUACCUUUUUCUAGCUAAAUGUUUGGACACCUUUUUCUAUGUUUGGACACUUUUCUCUACUUUGGACACCUUUCUCUUCAGCAAAUAUGAGAAGACCUUCUG